AGGUACUCUGCAGUUUGCCUCGUCGUAAGGUUAGAGAUUUAUGUUUCGCCCCCAGGCUCAAUACAUCAACCUUUUCAUGUCUUAAGUGCGGAAAUGACGUAUUGUUCAGGUUUCGGACGUGUUACUGGCAUGUCUGAUUUCAGGAAUUAGUAGAUGUCCACAAUGUACAGAAUCCAUUUUAUUUUCUAUAAUGUGACACCAUC